rnacentral:pre_miRNA from 1 species
UCUUAUGGAUGAGCAAAGAAAGUGGUUUCUUGAGACAGAAUCUGCCCAUGGUGAAGAUGCCGUGAA